GGGUUGUGAGGUUAAGCGACUAAGCGUACACGGUGGAUGCCCUGGCAGUCAGAGGCGAUGAAGGACGUGCUAAUCUGCGAAAAGCGUCGGUAAGGUGAUAUGAACCGUUACAGCCGGCGAUGUCCGAAUGGGGAAACCCAGUGCAAUUCGUUGCACUAUCGUUAACUGAAUACAUAGGUUAACGAGGCGAACCGGGGGAACUGAAACAUCUAAGUACCCCGAGGAAAAGAAAUCAACCGAGAUUCCCCCAGUAGCGGCGAGCGAACGGGGAGCAGCCCAGAGUCUGAAUCAGCUUGUGUGUUAGUGGAACGGUCUGGAAAGUCCGACGGUACAGGGUGAUAGUCCCGUACACCAAAAUGCACAGGUUGUGAACUCGAAGAGUAGGGCGGGACACGUGGUAUCCUGUCUGAAUAUGGGGGGACCAUCCUCCAAGGCUAAAUACUCCUGACUGACCGAUAGUGAACCAGUACCGUGAGGGAAAGGCGAAAAGAACCCCGGCGAGGGGAGUGAAAAAGAACCUGAAACCGUGUACGUACAAGCAGUGGGAGCACCUUCGGGUGUGACUGCGUACCUUUUGUAUAAUGGGUCAGCGACUUAUAUUCUGUAGCAAGGUUAACCGUAUAGGGGAGCCGCAGGGAAACCGAGUCUUAACUGGGCGUUAAGUUGCAGGGUAUAGACCCGAAACCCGGUGAUCUAGCCAUGGGCAGGUUGAAGGUUGGGUAACACUAACUGGAGGACCGAACCGACUAAUGUUGAAAAAUUAGCGGAUGACUUGUGGCUGGGGGUGAAAGGCCAAUCAAACCGGGAGAUAGCUGGUUCUCCCCGAAAGCUAUUUAGGUAGCGCCUCGUGAAUUCAUCUUCGGGGGUAGAGCACUGUUUCGGCUAGGGGGUCAUCCCGACUUACCAACCCGAUGCAAACUACGAAUACCGAAGAAUGUUAUCACGGGAGACACACGGCGGGUGCUAACGUCCGUCGUGAAGAGGGAAACAACCCAGACCGCCAGCUAAGGUCCCAAAGUCACAGUUAAGUGGGAAACGAUGUGGGAAGGCACAGACAGCCAGGAUGUUGGCUUAGAAGCAGCCAUCAUUUAAAGAAAGCGUAAUAGCUCACUGGUCGAGUCGGCCUGCGCGGAAGAUGUAACGGGGCUAAACUGUGCACCGAAGCUGCGGCAGCGACACUAUGUGUUGUUGGGUAGGGGAGCGUUCUGUAAGCCUGCGAAGGUGGCCUGUGAGGGUUGCUGGAGGUAUCAGAAGUGCGAAUGCUGACAUAAGUAACGAUAAUGCGGGUGAAAAGCCCGCACGCCGGAAGACCAAGGGUUCCUGUCCAACGUUAAUCGGGGCAGGGUGAGUCGACCCCUAAGGCGAGGCCGAAAGGCGUAGUCGAUGGGAAACAGGUUAAUAUUCCUGUACUUGGUGUUACUGCGAAGGGGGGACGGAGAAGGCUAUGUUAGCCGGGCGACGGUUGUCCCGGUUUAAGCAUGUAGGCGGAGGUUCCAGGUAAAUCCGGUACCUUUUAACGCUGAGGUGUGAUGACGAGGCACUACGGUGCUGAAGUAACAAAUGCCCUGCUUCCAGGAAAAGCCUCUAAGCAUCAGGUAACAUUAAAUCGUACCCCAAACCGACACAGGUGGUCAGGUAGAGAAUACCAAGGCGCUUGAGAGAACUCGGGUGAAGGAACUAGGCAAAAUGGUGCCGUAACUUCGGGAGAAGGCACGCUGAUAUGUAGGUGAAGCCCCUGCGGGUGGAGCUGAAAUCAGUCGAAGAUACCAGCUGGCUGCAACUGUUUAUUAAAAACACAGCACUGUGCAAACACGAAAGUGGACGUAUACGGUGUGACGCCUGCCCGGUGCCGGAAGGUUAAUUGAUGGGGUUAUCCGUAAGGAGAAGCUCUUGAUCGAAGCCCCGGUAAACGGCGGCCGUAACUAUAACGGUCCUAAGGUAGCGAAAUUCCUUGUCGGGUAAGUUCCGACCUGCACGAAUGGCGUAAUGAUGGCCAGGCUGUCUCCACCCGAGACUCAGUGAAAUUGAACUCGCUGUGAAGAUGCAGUGUACCCGCGGCAAGACGGAAAGACCCCGUGAACCUUUACUAUAGCUUGACACUGAACAUUGAGCCUUGAUGUGUAGGAUAGGUGGGAGGCUUUGAAGCGUGGACGCCAGUCUGCGUGGAGCCAACCUUGAAAUACCACCCUUUAAUGUUUGAUGUUCUAACGUUGGCCCCUGACCGGGGUUGCGGACAGUGUCUGGUGGGUAGUUUGACUGGGGCGGUCUCCUCCCAAAGAGUAACGGAGGAGCACGAAGGUUAGCUAAUCCUGGUCGGACAUCAGGAGGUUAGUGCAAUGGCAUAAGCUAGCUUGACUGCGAGCGUGACGGCGCGAGCAGGUGCGAAAGCAGGUCAUAGUGAUCCGGUGGUUCUGAAUGGAAGGGCCAUCGCUCAACGGAUAAAAGGUACUCCGGGGAUAACAGGCUGAUACCGCCCAAGAGUUCAUAUCGACGGCGGUGUUUGGCACCUCGAUGUCGGCUCAUCACAUCCUGGGGCUGAAGUAGGUCCCAAGGGUAUGGCUGUUCGCCAUUUAAAGUGGUACGCGAGCUGGGUUUAGAACGUCGUGAGACAGUUCGGUCCCUAUCUGCCGUGGGCGCUGGAGAAUUGAGGGGGGCUGCUCCUAGUACGAGAGGACCGGAGUGGACGCAUCACUGGUGUUCGGGUUGUCAUGCCAAUGGCAUUGCCCGGUAGCUAAAUGCGGAAGAGAUAAGUGCUGAAAGCAUCUAAGCACGAAACUUGCCCCGAGAUGAGUUCUCCCUGAGACUUUAAGUCUCCUGAAGGAACGUUAAAGACGAUGACGUUGAUAGGUCGGGUGUGUAAGCGUAGCGAUACGUUGAGCUAACCGAUACUAAUGAACCGUGAGGCUUAACCUUACAACGCCGAAGCUGUU
rnacentral:rRNA from 1 species